AGGAAGGAAGAAGGGUGGUGUCAGCACGGGAGGAAGUGGUCUAGUGAGAGGAGGGCAGAUGGAGGAAGCAGGGAGGAUGAAGCAAGGCCCAGCUUAGGAGAAGACUUAUCCCCUGAAAUCCUGUGGAGAGAAAAUGUAAGAGGUCGGGACUUUGCAGUGCAUGGAAUGCAGCCUUGAGCUCUAUGGGCUUUGCAAUAUUAAAGGAAAGCGAGAACCUCAGCCUAGGUGAAAAAUAGGAAGACUCAUUCACUUGGUUCUUCUCUGACUGGAUACAGUAACAGGUACCACUGGAAUCCCUACCUGUGUCUGAGUCUAUGGCACAUUGAUCGGUCUUUUCCUUUAUGAUGGCCUGAGGAUAAUGCCCCACGGUGGGAGGAAGAACACAAAGAAGGCCUUCAAGGAGAGGGAGAGGUGCAGCUCAGCCACCAGGUCACUGUGAUAGCAACACUGGGUCACCUGGGAUUUCUCUAUAAACAUAAAAAAGAGCCUUGCAAAAGAAACUUUUUAAAAUCUACAUUGGGGUGCGGGUGCAGGGAUGUUAUAGUAAGGGACGGUGAAGAGUUGAGAGGAAAGAAAACCCCCAGAUGCAGCCUGGUAAGGGAACAGGAGAAUUGAAGCUAAGUUGGAAGUGAAAGAGGCAGACUGCUCUCAUGCUUCUGAGUUUGAAUUUGAGGGCAGGGUGCAGUAAGGAGGUUCACUGCAGGUGUGAGUUGACCACCUCCUCAGGUUCCACACUCUGGUGAGUUGACCCUCUACUCUCCAUCUCUCGCCCCUUCUCUUUUCAGCUCAACCAACCCUAGCCUAGACAUUGAAAACACACACACACACACACACACACACACACACACACACACACACACACACACACACACACACACACACACACAUCCCACAGAAGACACUCCACGCUUGACCUGGGGUGAGUCUUGCUCUGAAGACCAGUUACCUUGAGGUCCCUGGGGAUGGAAGUUGAUGAUCUUUGGGAAUGGAGGUUGAUGUUUCUGUGCUUCUUCCUCACUGGUUUUAAUGGAUGACACAUCCCACUGAAAUGCACAGAAAUGGAAGGAAUAUUUGCAAGAUAUAGAUGCCAUGAGAAGGAGCCAUUUGGAGCCCUGGCAAAUUCUGCAUUUGACUCUCGUCCUUUCCUGUUCAGAAGUUGAUUUCCCAGCUUGGGCAUCACCAUUUGCUUCUGUCUUUUCCCCAGGUAUCUGACCCUUGGAUGUUUUGCAUCUCAGGCUUACUUCUACUAGAGGAAAAAAUGAAGGCACAUAACAAACCAAGCAGGCUUGCUGCUUACUAACCACUCAAGGUUUGGUAUGGCAAUAAGCCAAUGCUAAUGUCUCAAUUCAAGGUUUGGGAUUACAAGUGAAUUUGAGGUCAAGCUAACAACUGAGAAUAGAAGUGGAAAUAAAGGUGGGAGGGGAAGAGAAGGGUGGGGCAGGGCAGUGGUGGGCGGUGGUGGAUGGGAAAUGAAAAGAAGAGACUAAGAGGUGGCAGCCUUCCCUUCUUAGCUGCUGGAAUCACACCUAUGGUAGAAACAGUGAGGGUCCGAGAGAGAAGAGAAGCAUUGGUUUCUAAUCAUUGGCUUGCAGAACAUGUCAGGCAGCUAGUUACCCAGGUUGGAAAUAGGGGUUAAAAAAUCGGGAGAAGCGAAUGAGAGAAAAUCUUGCCCGGCUGAAGAGGGCGGGAGGGCUUCUGCAUCCUGGGGAUUGUUGUGAAUGCGAACUUUCUCCAAGCUGAUUAAAUGGAAUUAACUCCACAGCCUGGCAUCUUACAACCUCCUGUUGCUCUCAUCUCUCCAAACCCUUGUUCUACCUCUUCAGAGCCUCCUGGAACCCUGAGGAAUUUAUUAAUGAUGUCCAAUUAUGGAAAAUUUCAGGUUUUUAAUCAACUUCAGAUGCACAGCUGAAGGGUUCAGCUCAACCCCCCUGAGAAAAUGUACAUUAAACAAGAUUUCAGAGAACUGCACACUUGCUUCCCACAUCCAGCCCUCUCCCCGCUUCCAAUCAUCUAUAGCAUCUCUGCCCCUGCUCCGCACCAUUUCCCCUCUGCCCUCAUCUUCCCACCCCCAGCUUUCGAAAAGAGCUGUGAAUUUCAGCUGCCCCUUGUUUUAAAAACUGCAGAACACACGGCAUUGCUGACUGAUUGACCCAGCUGGCUUCUGUCCAAGCCCUCCCCAGCCCUAAUUUGUGGCUUUCAUCUAGGUGUGCUGGAAAGACUUUUCCUGACCAUUUCCACCCUCGGUGACUGCUAGCAAACAAUCUUUGUUUCCUCUUUGAGGAUAUUUUUGAAGAUAGAUUAGAGGUUUGAAAAAACACUUGGAAUAACUCUUUAAACAGGUUUUCCAAACACUGGUGGAAGGAAACAAAGGAGGUGGGUGGGAACAUCAGCCCUGAAUAAUGGUUCUAUUUCUCAUCCUGUGUUGCCUCAGGCCUGCAUAGCUUGUAUUCUCCCCGGCCUGUGGAAACUUUGCAUACUUCCGGGGCUUGGUCUCUGCAGAGGCUGCUCGUCACCCUGGGAGAGACGGGCCCUCCACCAGCUGCUGUGGGAAUGGCACAUCUGGCAUUCCAGCAGUCACUUCCUCUCCAGGGAAAAGCCUAGGUUCCACCCUGUGCAGUUUCACGAAGUGUUGCCGGGGCUCCUGGGAAUGGGCAGGAGCGGUUGUGAGUGGUGAACAUCCUCCCAAGCUCCUGUGGGGCCUGCAGGCUCUGCUCAGCUGAUUAAACAGUCUUCACCUGGGGCAGAUUUUUAAAGAGACUACUGCAUGACAUGGCAAGGUUUUUCCAUAGGUGAAAAUUCUAUUUAACAUCUAGGUAGGCUGGAAUAUUGAUCUUCAGAGGUAGCCGCUUGAACCUUGCCUCUUAGACGAAGCAGUCUCCAUCCCCUUGAGCUGUCUGGGAUCUCUUUAAUAAGCCAAGAUUCUUUUGGUUGCAGGUGACUGGAAAGAAACUUGAUAUAGAUUGGGCAAAUGAGGGCGUUUGUCAGUUGCUGAAAUCAGGGUGGAAAAAUAGCUAGGUCUCAGGAAUGAAUGGAACCUGGGGUGUGCUAGAUUUGGCUUAUCCUGGUUUUUGAGAGCUGAUUGUUCAAUUUACAGGAAUUUCAUGAGCUAGUUGUUAAACACAGCCAUUAUUGAAAAUUAUAUAAACUCAUGAGUAAAAAUUAUAUUAAACACAAUGAUAAUAAAUUCUUAAAACUCCUCACUUCGUAAUUAUUUCACUGCACUUUGCUAUUAUCUCUGCUCUUGAGAUUCCUUGUAUCUAUUAUAUCUCUCUGGUGGAAACACUACAGAAUGGUGUGCUAUUGCCCACACCUUUGCAACUCUGUUUUUCAGAGUUGGAAAGUUGGAAGCUUGAAAUUGACUGUGGUGGAAGCAUUGACACCACAGAAAUUCACAAACACUACAAAUCAGGGCUUGAUCUACUGCUUUCUUGGUUGUAUAGUCUCAACUUAAGGAUGUGAUGAAAAAAGUGUUGAUAAUGCAAGUUACACUUAAAAAAAGUAUGUUAUGUCUGUAGUUGUUACAUUGUGAAUGGCACCCCCCAAAAUAAGAAAACGUUCUAUUUUUAGAGAACUAUUCUGUGCAAUUUUUGAUCUAGGACAGAAUUGCAAAUGGCUCUUACCUGGAACAUAUAUCAUUAGGUGUGCCUGGCUGGUAGGAACUUUAUGGUUUUUAUUGCCUGUGUUUUACCUGGGGAGAGACAACCACUAUCCUCUCUUCACUGUACUGCAUUGCUUUUCUUGUUGGUGGGAGAGAGAUUUGGGGGAUUAUCUUGGUGCCUCUCAAAUCACACCAUUUUAUAUACACACACAUAUAUAUAUAUAUAAAUACACAUAUAAUACUACACCAUUAUAUAUAUUUAUAUUCUCAUUUAUAUCAUAUAUAUUUAUAAUCUCAUUUAAUUCUUAUAACUAAAUGCAUUUCUUAGAACUACAUUGCUUUCCUUGUUGGUAAGAGAGAGAUUUCGGGGUUAUGUUGGUGGUCCUCAAAUUCCAAGCCAGUAUCUGUCUAUCUCCAAAGAGUCAGCAGCAGGUUUGAUGUGUGCAUAUUUGUUCUCCGUCAGAACCUUUAGCCCACGGCCUUUAUCAUCACUGUUUUACACUGAUGCUCGCAGACAGUUUCCCAACCUGGGUCAUGAGCAGAGCAUUUCAUGAAGUUCUUGUUCAGAAUUCUGAUUACAGAUGAUAAUCUCUGUGAACCUCCUUAAAGGAGAGCCACUUCUACUGGAAAGGUGUUGGUGUUCCUGUGGAUUGGCACAGCUGUUGGGGUGGGGCAGGGUAUGGUGGGGCUGGGAAGGUGAUAGAUCAUCCACAGAUCAUGCAACCCAGGAUUACAGAAGAGGUCACUGAACCCAUUAUUUUGCCUCCACACCGUUUCACUGAAACCAUUUAAAGAGUAGCGUAUAAAAGGGAGACCAAAAAAAAAUUGUAUUCAAGAGUACAUUCCAGUGACUUAUCUAAAUCUUUCCUUCUAUACAGUAAAUUGAUUUCUUCUUAUUCAGUUUUCUAGGCAUAUGCAAAAAUAAAAAAUCAUUGUGUUUUAGAUAUUGAAGCUUCCUAAAACUCUGUUCAUCUUCUCUUCUGAGCAAACUUUUUUUUCUUUAAACCUUUUAAUGUUUCCCAUAAUGAUUUCAAGACAUCACUUUUCAGACAUUUAGUUUUGUCUUUAAGACAAAGGGCCACUUUAAUUUUUCUAAUUUUUUUUAAAAAGAUUUGGCCUCCAUGAAACCUUUUGUACCUUCUCCUUUGCUGAUUUCUCCCUUGUCUGAAAUUUUUAAAAGUUUAUGUUCGGUGCUACAUAAUUUAUUUGUUUCUGUUUGCUUCCUGUUUGGAGCUCUUUUCUGCACUCAAGCAAAGUAUAAGCUAUGGAGGGCAUGGAUAAUAACUUUUACUUUUCUGUCCCUUAAUGUCUGCUAAAGUGCCAGAAAAGUAGCUAACAUUCAGAAUGAAUUUGUUGAUUUGUUGGUAUGUUGGCUGACAGCUGUAAGAACUCUUCUUCUUUCUAAUGUCCACACACUUCUGAUUUACCACUUUCUCUUCUAUUGACAAUGGGAGAAAUCAAAUGAAAAAGCUUAUUAGAACUGUGGACAAAGUAAGGGUAACUUAGCUUUGAGUGAUAUUCUGAAAGAUCUCUUAUGAAUGAAAUUCAUGACUAUUAGAUAUAUUUUAUAUUUCUAUUUUGUCUACUCACAAUCUCCCUCAAUUUCUUUCCUUAUGUUUGGUCAUUACCAUUACGGACAAAGAAUGUUGCCUGCCAUUCCAGUAAACAAUGAAUGUUGCCCACCAUCAAGAAUCAAGAUAAAGCCAUGAGCCGCUGCAGCCCCCCAACCCCACCCCCACCCCCAGCCCUCCACAGUGCACCAACAGAGAAAUUCAGGAUGGAGAAAAAGAGAAUACUGGCCUUAGAUGGUUGAGAAAGAUGCAUAUCAAAGGAGUAAUUCAAUGAGCUCAGACUCUUGCACCUUCCCAUACAUAGAAAAGCACUAAAAUCAUUAACUCCAGAUGUUUGGUUUUUGUGAUCAGCAGUAAUCUUUUGAUGAUCCAUUAUAUAUAUAUAUCUAUACAUAUCUAUAUUUUUUUUUCCCCAGCAAAAACUCCUAUAUGUCCUGGCUCCCCCCUUCCCUCUUUGGAACAGUUCCUCAGAGCUAUCUGAGAGGAUGUCUCCCAGGCUGUAGUCCUCAGUAAUGUCCCUGAAUAAAACAUAAUUCUCAA